GACUCGCCGCAUAGAGUGGUAUAUCAUUCCUGAAUGAGUCUCACCAUCCAAUUAGACACAUCAACCAUAACUCCUUCAGAAACAGCCAGAAAC